rnacentral:rRNA from 1 species
CAAGUCGAGCGGCAGCGCGGGGGCAACCCUGGCGGCGAGCGGCGAACGGGUGAGCAUACAUCGGAACGUACCCAGACGUGGGGGAUAACACAUAAGAAAGAUGUGCUAAUACCGCAUACGACCUGAGGGUGAAAGGGGGGGAUCGCAAGACCUCUCGCGUUUGGAGCGGCCGAUGUCGGAUUAGCUAGUUGGUGAGGUAAAGGCUCACCAAGGCGACGAUCCGUAGCUGGUCUGAGAGGAUGAUCAGCCACACUGGGACUGAGACACGGCCCAGACUCCUACGGGAGGCAGCAGUGGGGAAUUUUGGACAAUGGGGGCAACCCUGAUCCAGCCAUUCCGCGUGAGUGAAGAAGGCCUUCGGGUUGUAAAGCUCUUUCGGCAGGAACGAAACGGUGAGGGCUAAUACCCUUUAUCAAUGACGGUACCUGAAGAAGAAGCACCGGCUAACUACGUGCCAGCAGCCGCGGUAAUACGUAGGGUGCGAGCGUUAAUCGGAAUUACUGGGCGUAAAGCGUGCGCAGGCGGUUCUAUAAGACAGAUGUGAAAUCCCCGGGCUUAACCUGGGAACUGCGUUUGUGACUGUAGGACUCGAGUGUGGCAGAGGGGGGUGGAAUUCCACGUGUAGCAGUGAAAUGCGUAGAGAUGUGGAGGAACACCGAUGGCGAAGGCAGCCCCCUGGGUUAACACUGACGCUCAUGCACGAAAGCGUGGGGGAGCAAACAGGGUUAGAUACCCUGGUAGUCCACGCCCUAAACGAUGCGAACUAGGUGUUUGG